AGUGUUUAAUGUGGUAUGGCGUGGACUGUGAAACGAUGAAUUUGUGGCUGAAAUCAUGGAGAACAAUCACAGUUUUUGAGGAAUUUAAUAUCAUUUUGACGACUAGUCGAAGUAUUCUUUGGCCAAUUGAUCAUUAUGGUGUUAUUUCUACUCUAAAAUGUGUUGUCCUGAUUUCACCUACAAGUUCAUCAUCGUCUGCAUUGUAUGAUAACCAUACAACGGCCUUCAAAUCUGCUGCGGAAAAUAUUCCCAGCGACUUGCCGUUCAUAUCGGCUACUUCGUAGGAGCUGUUGCCCUUUCUCGCAACCACGACACACGGCUUAUACUGCGGACCUAAUUUGGCGUUGAAGUUUUUGCCGGCCUCCGACAGCGCGAAACUCCUCUUGAAAAUUCGUUGUCCGACAGAGAACGUGGCAUCAUCAAUUGCAUCAAUGGGCUGAGAUAUCGUGGGGCGAAUCCCGAAGGCUUGCCAGAAAUCGUAGCCCAGAAUACAACGACGACUCAGACUUGGAGCUACCAGAACUGGUAUGGAACUCACAUUCGCUGCCAGCAUUGCAAUUCUGCAAUCUUCCCUAGUAUUACGGAAGAGGACGUCAAACUUUCGUUUUUCGUCCCACGGGCUCGACAUACUGUGGAAGAUCCGGACCAUGUCCAAGUAAAAGUCCUGGAACUUCUCUCUGGGACCCUGCUUCCGAUUGUUAGCCUGCCGUUCAUAGACGUAAUCUAUAUCGACUGGCGGCUACGCAGAUUUCGUUCGGCAACGCUACGUGUGCCUUCUACCGGCAUGCUACGGAUCUUCAACUCGUACUCUAGCUCAUCUAUUGUCAGAUGGCUAGGAUUCAUCGCGUGGUACCACGAUACGAAAUGGGACAUAGCCAUCUCUUCAACAGGCAUUCAACUAAGAAAAUCGAAUAUUGAAUUAAAAAAAAGAAACUACGGAAUCCUUUCAAGUGGAUUACCACCUAAAAAAAUUGAAAAUCCUAGAGAAAAGAAAUACUUCUGUUCAAAGAAGCUGUAAAUUAAAAAAUCCUAAAAUUUGUUCACGCUCCCUAAUGAAGCAAAUAAUUUGAAAAUCCUAGUUUUAG